rnacentral:rRNA from 1 species
UACAGAGGUCCCAAGCGUUGUUCGGAUUCACUGGGCGUAAAGGGCGCGUAGGCGGUGAGGUAAGUCGGAUGUGAAAGCUCGGAGCUCAACUCCGAAAUGGCAUUGGAAACUACCUUGCUCGAGGGUUGGAGGGGGGACUGGAAUGCUUGGUGUAGCAGUGAAAUGCGUAGAUAUCAAGCGGAACACCAGUGGCGAAGGCGAGUCCCUGGACAACUCCUGACACUGAGGCACGAAAGCUAGGGGAGCAAACAGG